CCUACGGGUGGCAGCAGUGGGGAAUAUUGCACAAUGGGGGAAACCCUGAUGCAGCGACGCCGCGUGAGCGAUGAAGUAUUUCGGUAUGUAAAGCUCUAUCAGCAGGGAAGAAAAUGACGGUACCUGAGUAAGAAGCCCCGGCUAACUACGUGCCAGCAGCCGCGGUAAUACGUAGGGGGCAAGCGUUAUCCGGAUUUACUGGGUGUAAAGGGAGCGUAGACGGUACUGCAAGCCAGGUGUGAAAGCCCGGGGCUCAACCCCGGGACUGCAUUUGGAACUGUAAGGCUAGAGUGCAGGAGAGGUAAGUGGAAUUCCUAGUGUAGCGGUGAAAUGCGUAGAUAUUAGGAGGAACACCAGUGGCGAAGGCGGCUUGCUGGACGGUGACUGACGUUGAGGCUCGAAAGCGUGGGGAGCAAACAGGAUUAGAUACCCUGGUAGUC
rnacentral:rRNA from 1 species